GCCCCUGUGGCUCAGAUGGUUAGAGCGGCUGACAUGUAAUCAGCACGUCGCAAGUUCAAGCCUUGCCGGGGGCU
rnacentral:tRNA from 1 species